rnacentral:rRNA from 1 species
GCAUAUCAAUAAGCGGAGGAAAAGAAACCCAACAGGGAUUGCCCUAGUAACGGCGAGUGAAGCGGCAACAGCUCAAAUUUGAAAUCUGGCGUCUUUGGCGUCCGAGUUGUAAUUUGCAGAGGGCGCUUUGGCAUUGGCAGCGGUCCAAGUUCCUUGGAACAGGACGUCACAGAGGGUGAGAAUCCCGUACGUGGUCGCUAGCCUUUACCGUGUAAAGCCCCUUCGACGAGUCGAGUUGUUUGGGAAUGCAGCUCUAAAUGGGAGGUAAAUUUCUUCUAAAGCUAAAUACUGGCCAGAGACCGAUAGCGCACAAGUAGAGUGAUCGAAAGAUGAAAAGCACUUUGGAAAGAGAGUUAAAAAGCACGUGAAAUUGUUGAAAGGGAAGCGCUUGCAGCCAGACUUGCCUGUAGUUGCUCAUCCGGGUUUUUACCCGGUGCACUCUUCUAUAGGCAGGCCAGCAUCAGUUUGGGCGGUUGGAUAAAGGUCUCUGUCAUGUACCUCUCUUCGGGGAGAACUUAUAGGGGAGACGACAUGCAACCAGCCUGGACUGAGGUCCGCGCAUCUGCUAGGAUGCUGGCGUAAUGGCUGUAAGCGGCCCGUCUUGAAACACGGACCAAGGAGUCUAACAUCUAUGCGAGUGUUUGGGUGUCAAGCCCGAGCGCGUAAUGAAAGUGAACGGAGGUGGGAACCUUUCGGGGUGCACCAUCGACCGAUCCUGAUGUCUUCGGAUGGAUUUGAGUAAGAGCAUAGCUGUUGGGACCCGAAAGAUGGUGAACUAUGCUUGAAUAGGGUGAAGCCAGAGGAAACUCUGGUGGAGGCUCGCAGCGGUUCUGACGUGCAAAUCGAUCGUCAAAUUUGGCAUAGGGCGAAAGACUAAUCG